GACGAACGCUGGCGGCGUGCUUAAUACAUGCAAGUCGAACGGAAAGGCCCUGAUUUUGUGGGGUGCUCGAGUGGCGAACGGGGGAGUAAAACGUGAGUAACCUGCCCCUGAAUUUGGGAUAACAUCAGGAAAAUGGGGCUAAUACCGGAUAGGAGCUCCUGCUGCAUGGUGGGGGUAGGAAAGUUUCGGCGGUUGGGGAUGGACUAGCGGGUUAUCAGCUUGUUGGUGGGGUAGGGACUUACCAAGGCUUUGACGGGUAGCCGGCCUUAGAGGGUGACCGGCCACAUGGGGACUGAGAUACGGCCCAGUCUCCUACGGGAGGCAGCGGUGGGGAAUAUGGCGCAAUGGGCGGAAGCCUGGUGCAGCGACGCCGCGUGCGGGAUGACGGCCUUCGGGUUGUAAACCUCUUUGGCCGGUGACGAAGCGUGAUUGACGGUAAUGGGUAAAGAAGCACCGGCUAACUACGUG
rnacentral:rRNA from 1 species